UACGAAGGGGGCUAGCGUUGCUCGGAAUUACUGGGCGUAAAGGGCGCGUAGGCGGACAGUUUAGUCAGAGGUAAAAGCCCAGGGCUCAACCUUGGAACUGCCUUUGAUACUGGCUGUCUUGAGUUCGGGAGAGGUGAGUGGAAUGCCGAGUGUAGAGGUGAAAUUCGUAGAUAUUCGGCGGAACACCAGUGGCGAAGGCGGCUCACUGGCCCGAUACUGACGCUGAGGCACGAAAGCGUGGGGAGCAAACAGGG
rnacentral:rRNA from 1 species